rnacentral:rRNA from 1 species
UAAUAUAUCGGAACGUGCCUGAUAUGGGGGACGAACUAGUCGAAAGAUUAGCUAAUACCGCAUACGCCCUACCGGGGAAAGGGGGGGCGUUCGCAAGAACCUCUCGCUAUCAGAGCGGCCGAUAUCUGAUUAGCUAGUUGGUGAGGUAAAGGCUCACCAAGGCUUCGAUCAGUAGCUGGUCUGAGAGGACGACCAGCCACACUGGGACUGAGACACGGCCCAG